GAGGGACUGAAACUAUAAAAAGGAAAGGAGAACGCCCCAAUAUACCCCUCUCUUCCCUUUCCCAUCACAUUCGCUACACCUGAAGCAACAAAGGAAGCCUUCACUGGAUUCUGAGGGAAGGAGUUCUGAACUACAGGGUUUGGUCAGUAAGACUGCUGAAAGCACAUGGCUACAGACCUCCGUUUCACCAGCCACCAAGAGGACCAGUAAGCUAUGCUGAAAAAAAAAGCUACCUGUAGAUAUCUCCAGGUGUUUGUUUGCUGACAGUUGUGAAGCAUUUAAAAGGACUGAAAAGCUGCCAUUUCUCAAGCUCUGAAAAGUCCAGGUGAUACACAGUACACACUAUGAUCAUAUUACAAAGACUGAAAAAUCAUCUCUGAGAGUUCAAAAGGAAAUGUGUUCUGAUGUGUGUGCUAAAAUAUUAAAAAAAUUGUUGAUGCAAA